GCAGCCUAUGCAGGGCAAAGCGGAAAGCCACCAGCCCCGCAAAGAGGCGACUGUGAUUAUCCAGGUGGGAGGUGAUGGUAGCUGGGCCAGGCAGACACUGGAGGUAGGAAGAAGGGGAACUUUGGGCAUAUUAAUAUCUCAGAGGUGGAGAAGACAGGCUUUGCUGAGCGAUGGGAUGUGGAGAGUCAGCUGAUGGCUUCUAGAUUUUUGCUCUGUGCACCUAGUAGGGACACGUUGGCAAAUCCUGAGAUGGUGAGUGUCCAGCAGAACCAGGUAUGAGAAGCUACUGAUAGCCGGCUCUUUCCUACCCCCUGGUGGCCUCAGAUUUGGGUGCCAUCUGGCAGGCUGUUGUUAUUCUGGGGCUGGAAAGACAGUCCUCGCCUUUACUAACAUGUGACGUCACUGAGUUCAUCCUGCUGUGUAACAUUCUUCAUUUCCUCUACUCCUCCAUCAGGGACACUCCUGGUGUCCAUUUGGGACAACCUGAAGAAAGGAGGCAAAUGGACGUGGUGGGCUUGGACGUGGGACCAUGGUCUUAGGGUCCCAGGCAGUCCCAGGCCAGGCUCCCAAAGGUGCCUCUGCCAGACAUACAGUGAAGUACCUAAACUGAAUGAAUUCUCACAGAGGGGUAUGCACGUGUAACCAACACCCAGAUCCAGACAGACAACAUUCCUGGGCUCCAGAAGUCUCCCUCUUGCUUCUUCCCAGGCAGCACCCCUCCCAGUUCCAGCAACCAGAAAACGGAAGUCAGUGUCACUGGGCUGAAAUCCAGGCGUGGGCAGGGCGGGGCUCCCUCUGACGGCCCUAGGGGAUGAUCCUUCCCGCCUCUCCCAGCUCACUGCCAUCUGUGCCUCCGGCGUCACAUGGCCUUCUCUGUGUGUCUGUGUCUUCUCCUCUUCUGUCUCUUAUAAAGACACUUGUCGCUGGAUCCAGGGCCUACCUGGGUAAUGUAGGGUGAGCUCAUCUUGAGAUCCUUAAAUUAACGACAUCUGCAAAGACCCUUUCGCCAAAUGAGGCAACACUCAAUAUGGUCCAGGGAUUUAUUUGGGUGUGGACAUUUCUUCUUCCUUGCCACCUGUCAACUGAAAAAAUAAUAUCGUCUAGGUAGUCUGUCACCAAAAGUUUUAUUCAGGAAAAGGAAUAAGAGAAAGGAAAAAGGGCUGCCACUCAGCACCUGCACGUGCAGAUCUAGCAAACUAUGUGCGCACAUUGGCCUGUGUCAGGGAGACAGGAACCAUAGAGUUUUAUGAAAAGGAAGUUAGGACCGUGGAGUUUGGCUAGGUGGGCUCAUGAACUUCCAUGAGCUCAGCUCCACCUGGAGCCCUCCCAGCCUGAUCAGUUUCCUUAAAGUCCCACUUCGUCUUUAUCACUCCCUUCUACCUACUACAGUAAUCAAAUCUCGCCCUGGCCGCCCUGCCUCCCUCCACUGAGGACACUUGAGGUUGCAUUUAGGACCCACCUCGGUAAUCCAAGACAAUCUCCCCAUCUCCAGAUCCUUAAUUUAAUCACAUCUGCAAAGACCCGUUUGCCGUGUACAGUGAGAUCCACGGGUGCUGGGCAAUGGGAUGUGGACAUACUUGGGGCCACUGCGUGAUGCGUCGCAUCCACUUUUUUCAGGCUGGGCAGUCUUUCUCCCAGUGCUUUCUAGGGGGUCUUUGCAGACUCUGUGUACAAUACCUUUCUUUGAGAUGGGGAUACUUUCUGGCAAACCUCUCUUUGGAGCCUUGGGGUGAGAAGAUUGGCGUGGGGGUGUGUGGUCUGUGCCUCCCUGGAGGUCCCUAGUGUGCCCAGUGAAUUGUCAGCCGUUUACUGGACGUUUGAAUUCCUGUGAGUUAAGCCUGCUUUUCUUGUCCUUAAUGCUUGUUUGUGGUGUCAUCUGUCCUACAAA